CUCGCCUGCGCAAGGCUGUCAUCUACCUGCAGUGCUGCUACCGCCGGGCCUGGGCACGCAGGGAGCUGUGGCGCCUGCGUGCUGAGGCCCGCUCUGUUGAGCAUUACAAGCAGCUGCACAAGGGCAUGGAGAUCAAGGUGAUGCAGCUGCAGUGCAGACUGGAUGAGCAGGCCCAGGAGAAGCAGUGCCUGUCUGAGCAGCUCUUGGCGCUGAAUGCUGCACAUGCUGUCGAGGUACAGCGGUUGCAGGCUGAGAUGCAGCGGCUGCAGGAGGAUGCAGCAUGUGAUGCCCGUGUCCAGCACCUGCAGGAGCGACUGGCUGAGCUGGAGCAGCACAGUGCUGAGAGCAGGCUGGGCCAGGAGUUGGAGGAGCUGAAACAGCGCUUGGCAGAGGUGGAAGCUGUGAAGUUGCACCUGGGGGAGGAGAGAGAUGCUCU
rnacentral:lncRNA from 1 species